UUAAACGUUACUUCAUUGUUAGUCCAGAGAACACUAGGGGAGUAGCAACUCCUCUGGUGUUUCCCCGUAUUUGGAAUGAGUUCGUAAACAGGAUGUUUGGAUUUCUAUCGCACUUUCGGAAAAGUGGAAGGAAAAUAAAUGAUGUAAAUUGGACACCGUUGCCGGCAUCGAAAAGUUUGGAAUAAAUUCCGCGGGACUCGCACGGAAGAUAGAAGCAGGGAGUUCUGACGUCCCUUUUCCCUUUCUCCCGAGCUUUUUGGUUUGAGGUGUGGUAAUGAUCCUUCCGCAGGUUCACCUACGGAAA
rnacentral:misc_RNA from 1 species